rnacentral:lncRNA from 1 species
GCGGAGCCCGAGGAGCACAGCUCCGAGUGCAGCAACCGUGUAGAUGCCCUCGUGGCCCGGAGGCCUCGGCCGAAGCAGAACCUCACCCCAGAGCCCGAGCUGAAACCAGAGGAGCCAGACGGGGGCUUCAGGAAGCUGUACUCGGAGCUGCGCAGGGAGAACGAGCGGCUUCGAGAGGCCCUGACCGAGACCACACUGCGGCUGGCACAGCUCAAGGUAGAGCUGGAGCGGGCCACACAGCGGCAGGAACGCUUCGCAGAGAGGCCCGCCCUCCUGGAGCUGGAGAGAUUUGAGCGCAGGGCCCUGGAGCACAAGGCUGCCGAGCUGGAGGAGGAGCUGAAGGCCCUGUCUGACCUCCGCGCUGAUAACCAGCGGCUCAAGGAUGAGAAUGCAGCACUGAUCCGAGUCAUCAGCAAGCUGUCCAAGUGACGCUGGAGGACUCGCCCGCACCCAUAUUUAUACAGCUGCUUUGCCACACGCACCCUUCCCACGGGAACACGAGUGACGGCUCUGGGGAAGCCGCCGAGAAGCCAUAGACCCCAUGAGGGACCCGAGGGAAGCACAGGUCCCCAGGGCCUGGGGUCCGCCAGAGGCUGGACGGAGGGGAGGCUGAGCCAGGUGGGGGGAUGUCGCUGAGGGGCCAGGAAGGAAGCAAGGCCAGUAGCCGAGGACCAGAGGGGCCGCCCGGGGUCCCCGCCUCACGUGUGAUGCCACCCCAGCACCCUCCCCUCCUGAGCAGGGUCCAGGAAUGUGCCAGGAGUCCCGCCGGUCCCCCGGUGGGCCUUUAUGUAGGGUCCAUGUGCAAUAGGAGGGACGUCUUCUAUUUUUUGCUGCCCCCUCACUGACUGUUGUGUGAGGAGGGGGAGAAGGUAUUUUCGAGACAAAGCACAGGCACCACAAAUAAAAGUCG